rnacentral:rRNA from 1 species
UACGUAGGGGGCAAGCGUUGUCCGGAAUCAUUGGGCGUAAAGAGCGCGUAGGCGGUCCGGUAAGUCCGCUCUGAAAGUCCGGGGCUCAACCCCGGGAGGCGGGCGGAUACUGUCGGGCUAGAGUCCGGAAGAGGCGAGUGGAAUUCCUGGUGUAGCGGUGGAAAUGCGCAGAUAUCAGGAGGAACACCAAUGGCGAAGGCAGCUCGCUGGGACGUACUGACGCUGAGGCGCGAAAGCGUGGGGAGCAAACAGG